rnacentral:rRNA from 1 species
UAGUCCACGCCGUAAACGAUGUCUAUUAGCCGUUGGGAGACUUGAUCUCUUAGUGGCGCAGCUAACGCGAUAAAUAGACCGCCUGGGGAGUACGGCCGCAAGGUUAAAACUCAAAUGAAUUGGCGGGGGCCCGCACAAGCGGUGGAGCAUGUGGUUUAAUUCGAUGCAACGCGAAGAACCUUACCAAGACUUGACAUCCACGGAAUUCGCUAGAGAUAGCUUAGUGCCUUCGGGAACCGUGAGACAGGUGCUAGCAUGGCUGUCGUCAGCUCGUGUUGUGAAAUGUUGGGUUAAGUCCCGUAACGAGCGCAACCCUUGUCCUUAGUUGUCAGCACAUAAUGGUGGGAACUCUAAGGAGACUGCCGGUGACAAACCGGAGGAAGGUGGGGACGACGUCAAGUCAUCAUGGCCCUUACGUCUUGGGCUACACACGUGCUACAAUGGUACGUACAAAGGGUUGCGAAGCCGCGAGGUGGAGCUAAUCCCAGAAAACGUAUCGUAGUCCGGAUUGGAGUCUGCAA